rnacentral:rRNA from 1 species
UACGAAGGGGGCUAGCGUUGUUCGGAAUCACUGGGCGUAAAGGGCGCGUAGGCGGCUUUAUAAGUCAGGGGUGAAAUCCUGGAGCUCAACUCCAGAACUGCCCUUGAUACUGGCGGUCUCGAGGCCGGGAGAGGCGAGUGGAAUUCCCAGUGUAGCGGUGAAAUGCGUAGAUAUCGAGAGGAACACCGGUGGCGAAGGCGGCCAGCUGGACGAAUACUGACGCUGAGACUCGAAAGCGUGGGGAGCAAACAGGAUUAGAUACCCUUGA